rnacentral:rRNA from 1 species
UACAGAGGUCUCAAGCGUUGUUCGGAUUCAUUGGGCGUAAAGGGUGCGUAGGCGGCGCGGUAAGUCGGGUGUGAAAUCUCGGGGCUUAACUCCGAAACUGCAUUCGAUACUGCCAUGCUUGAGGACUGGAGAGGAGACUGGAAUUCAUGGUGUAGCAGUGAAAUGCGUAGAGAUCAUGAGGAAGACCAGUGGCGAAGGCGGGUCUCUGGACAGUUCCUGACACUGAGACACGAAGGCCAGGGGAGCAAACGGG